rnacentral:rRNA from 1 species
GUGGGGAAUAUUGGACAAUGGGCGAAAGCCUGAUCCAGCAAUGCCGCGUGAGUGAUGAAGGCCUUAGGGUUGUAAAGCUCUUUUACCAGGGAUGAUAAUGACAGUACCUGGAGAAUAAGCUCCGGCUAACUCCGUGCCAGCAGCCGCGGUAAUACGGAGGGAGCUAGCGUUGUUCGGAAUUACUGGGCGUAAAGCGCGCGUAGGCGGUUUAUCAAGUCAGGGGUGAAAUCCCGGGGCUCAACCCCGGAACUGCCCUUGAAACUGGUUCACUAGAAUCCUGGAGAGGCGAGUGGAAUUCCGAGUGUAGAGGUGAAAUUCGUAGAUAUUCGGAAGAACACCAGUGGCGAAGGCGACUCGCUGGACAGGUAUUGACGCUGAGGUGCGAAAGCGUGGGGAGCAAACAGGAUUAGAUACCCUAGUAGUCC